UGCAGUUUUGAAUGAGUGCACGGGAAGGUGUAUAAAGCGGGAGACUCCGAACACAGAGUAUUCUGUAAUGGUUCGUGUAACGGUUCGACUGAGUUUUUGUCUUUUUAUACCUCCUCUUACAAGUGUACUGAUACCUAGUUUUAAUGAUUGGACCCACUGCCAAAGACCUAUGACUCUAUGAUAUCUCUGUUCUGAACCUCACAGGAGACCUUUGCCCUCAGGUUGAAAGUGCACUC